GGGCUACACACGUGCUACAAUGGUCGGUACAACGAGUUGCGAGUCGGUGACGGCGAGCUAAUCUCUUAAAGCCAAUCUCAGUUCGGAUUGUAGGCUGCAACUCGCCUACAUGAAGUCGGAAUCGCUAGUAAUCGCGGAUCAGCACGCCGCGGUGAAUACGUUCCCGGGCCUU
rnacentral:rRNA from 1 species